rnacentral:lncRNA from 1 species
CCAGAUGUUGUUACGUGGCCAUGACUACCUCUCAUUGAUGGAGUGGGAGGGGAACAGCCUCUGGAGGGCCAGAGGCCCUUGGCACCUCCCCUAUGCCCUGGGCCCUUCCUAGGGGUGCCCUCUGCCCCUGGCCCCACUCAUAGCAAUGCAGAGUUCUUGACUGCAUAAAUACCUCACCUGUAAAAGCUUACAUGCAGAAAAUGCCACUUGCAGACCUGUCAGCAGAUGUCAGAUCAAUGGGACAAGUGACUCUGAGGACAGAGCUAAUUUUUCCAAGUACAGAAUAUGCCACCGUCGCUGCCUAUGUGUCUUGUGAAUGGAGGUGUCCAUUGCUGAAUCAACCUAACAGGCAGGGUCUGGAAAAGUUACUCUUUUGGACCACAACGCUGACAGUUCCUACCACCUGGGGAUUGUGGGAGUUGUAGUCCCACCUGCAAACCCUUCUGAAGCUCUGCUAACCAGCUACUUGUGCUAACAUGCAUUCCUGACAGACAGCGCUUUGUAAUAAAACAUGUGGUCUGAUUGUUCCUUUAAAUGAA